GGAGAAUGAGGACAGAACAGAGAUGGAACAAGAGCAGUUCCAUCGUUACACCACCGCUCCAACUGAACUCGCCUUUUGGAUACUGGUCAUAACUAUCAUUGGAAUUACACCACACUCCAAUCUCUAGGAGGGAAAUUUCCACAACUCACUGCCAGCCCUUCUUCCACCGUCACUCACAGGGAAUCCUGGAAUCCAGAACACAACAAUGGCGGAGUUUGCGCUCUCUAGUCGCAUGACAGUGGGCGAAACAUUUCAUCACUCAUCCUAAUGACUUCUUCAGUCAGUAAGCUCUCCAAUUCUCCCUAUCUGCAUAUGUUUUGCUCUCAGUUUUUAGGGUCACCGCCUUACUCUAUUUGUCGUUCUCCCUUAGAUCGCUCAAGUACGGCAUCAGUCCUCCCAGCACGCCAGGCUCUGUGCUUUCGUUUUCUCCUCAUCAUUGUACAUUUACCCUGUCACUGCAAAUAGCUCUCACCUUUGUAAAUACCCCGUCACUGUAAAUAAACCUAAUUCACUGCACUCCCGAGCCUCUGUGUGUUUCUGUCACAUGAGUCCACCCUUUAGAGUCACCUAACAGGAUUGGAUAUCGGGGAGAAAUAAAAAUAUGUAACCCAAUCCAAUAAAUAUCACAAAAAAACCUCACAAAACUUGUGACAUGGCAUAACCAAGGUCAUGACCUUAGCACGUCGGAACAGUAUGCGUCACGUGAUAGAGUGGUUAUCGUGUGCGAGAUCUGUCGGUGGUCUUGUCAGCGGUGUGAGUUACUUCAGGCUGAAAGAAGAAAAAAGCAAGACUGCUGAGUGUAACUUAUGCAAUGCAAGUGUUUCACAAGGUGGUAGCAGUGUUGGGAACUUUAACACCACAAACAUGAUUAACCACUUACCGAAAUACCAGAGAAAGGAGUACAUGGAAUUUAUCCAGGCCUCCAAUGUUCCGAAGAAACACACAAACAGAAAGUAUUCAGAGGUGUGAGAAACUCCCUCCAGAAAGCAAUAAAGCAAAGCUGAUAAUGGAGAAAAUUGUUGAAUUUAUUGUGCUUGAUGACCAAACCCUUCUGUUGUGGAAAAUGUCGGUUUUCGAUGCUUAAUGGAGCAUUUGGAGCCUCGCUAUAUGCUGCUGAACUGGCAUUUUAUCUCAGAGAAAGCUAUCCCAGAGAAGUACAAGCAGGUGUGUAAGUUCAUCUCUGAAUGUUUGGAAAGCAUUAAGCUUAACAACUGAUAUCUGGAGCUCGGACAUUUGUCCGUUGUCAUUGCUAAGUCUGACUGUACAAUGGAUAGACUCAAGUUUUGCAGCUUUGCAAAAAGCAGUGUUGCAGGCUAAAGAGUUUUGUGGCUCACACUCAGGAGAGUCCAUCGCUACAGCUAUGGACGAAAUGUUAAAUGCGUGGAAAAUUCCAAAGUCCACGUUGUUUUGUGAGACAACGGCAACAAUAUAACAAAGGCAAUGGACUGGCUAGGUGUUGCAAGUUUUGGAUGCUUCACGCACACUUUGCAACUUGUGGUGAAUGAGGGACUGCUAGCACAACGUAGUGUAUGUGAUGCUGUGGCAGUGGGCAGAAAUAGUGGGUCAGUUCAAACACUUCACCACAGGCAUAUUCACCUUUGGAGAACAUUCAAAUGGAGCUGAAUAUGUCACCCAAACGUCUGAUAUAAGAUGUGUGUACAAUAGGGCUGGGCUAUAUCAUACCGUUCACGGUAAUACCGGUGUAAUUUU